CCAAAUUUAAACCCAGAGAAAACUAAUGAGGCAUGGUUGAACAUUAAAAGUUGUAGACUCUCUUUUUUACCAACAUUAUACCAAAGUUUCAUUGACAACUGAUGUGCUUCAAAUUGUCAAAGUAAUUAAAUUAUUUGAUAAACUGGGCCGAGUUUAGACAAAAAUAGGUGCAAAUAUGGGGGAUGAGGUUGCAGGUCCAGAUGCACACACGAGUAACAAGAAGCCCAUUGGGGUUGCAUCCAUUCUUCUGGUUAACAAUUUAUAGUAAUAAAUGAGAUAAUGUGAUAGUUUUUAUCCUCUGCUCUCCCUUCAUGGAAUUGGGACUCUUUUUUGAUGAAUGAAAUUCUUGACUUAUCAUAAUAAUUUACAAACGGAAGGAGCUAAAAUCGGCAGCAAACUUGAUCCGACUCAAGGUUUUUUAUUUUUGGGUAAACAAAAUAUUUGUAGCCUCAACGUCGAAUUUUCGGUCGGCUAAUACAUUACAGACUGAGGUCCAAGAUUUUGGUGAUGAAGCCAUGUCUCGUGUCAUUGCAACCCUUGCCUAUGUAUUCGUCAUUGACAGUAGCGGAGCCCCGAGAGAGGGGGUUGGCAGAUACCGACCCCCUCCAAAAAAAAAAAAAACAAAAACUUCUUUUAGCUUCGCCCUUGUCGAUUGAUGUCCAUAAUCUUUGUAGAGGAGUCAUUACUUUUUUAGUAUCUAGAAUCAAAAUGUAUAGUCAUUAUAAAUUAAUCAAAAGUUCAUAAACAAUGAAAAAUUAUAUUUCAUACAAAAAUAAAACCCCAAAUUAGAUUAUCCAAAUAAAAGAGAGAAUUCAUAGAAAAAGCAAAGCUAAACAUAUUUAGGAAGUGUUGGUAUAUAUUCAUCAAUCUAACGAAUCAAGAAUACAAGUUAAAUAGUUUAAGGUGUGUUGUACAUUGUCCUUAAAAAUAUUUUGCCGUAUAAUGUGUCCAUAAGAUUCAACAAACUCUUCUAUUAUAAAACGAUAACAUGAAU
rnacentral:lncRNA from 1 species